rnacentral:rRNA from 1 species
UACAGAGGGUGCGAGCGUUGUUCGGAAUUACUGGGCGUAAAGCGCGUGUAGGCGGUUCAUUAAGUCCGAUGUGAAAUCCCGGGGCCUAACUCCGGAAGUGCAUUUGAAACUGAUGAGCUGGAGUGAGGUAGAGGAUGGCGGAAUACCCAGUGUAGUGGUGAAAUACGUAGAGAUUGGGUAGAACACCGGUGGCGAAGGCGGCCAUCUGGGCAUUAACUGACGCUGAGACGCGAAAGCGUGGGGAGCAAACAGG